ensembl:lncRNA
AGAAACCAGGAGUCAGCCAGGUCACGGGGGUGGUGGGAGGAGUCCACCACUGCCAUGGGGUGUGAGUGUGAUAUGGUUUGGCUGUGUCCCCACCCUGAUCUCAUCUUGAGGUGUGGUUCCCAUACUCCCCAUGUGUCCUGGGAGGAACCAGGUGGAUAUGAUUGAAUCAUGGGGGUGGAUCCCCCUGUGCUGUUCUCAUAAUAGUGAGUUCUCAUGAGAUCUGAUGGUUUUAAAACGGGCUUCUCCCCACUUCACUCUGCACUUCUUCCUGCUGCCAUGUGACAAAGGACGUGUUUGCUUCCCCUUCCACCAUGAUUUUAAGUUUCCUGAGGCCUCCCCAGCCCUGCAGAACUCUGAGCUCCAAGUCUCCUUCUAUGCCAUCAAGCACUGCAAGCCUCUGCUCUCAGCCUGGAAGCCCUCUGCCUUCAAAGGCCCUUGAGGAGAACAUUUGGAAACUCUGCUUCCUCAGGGUCCGAUGUGAUGUCAAAAUCCAGCAGCCCACCAGCAAUUAAUGACAAAUCCCAGCACAGAUGCUGACAACAAGGGAAACCUUCAGCAUUGCUGAAGAUGCUGUUCUUUGUAUGGAAAAAGCAAAAAGGAAGGAGAAAGAGGGCCUGGGCCUUUUGACUCCAAACUCAGAGAAUGGACCAAAGUGGGGAGUGCAGCCAGAGCCUGAAACAGAGUCCUCAGCACAGCCCAACCCUGGACUGUACCCUUCCAGGAAACCCAAGACAUAACAUGGACAGGAGGCACCCAAACCAGGAAAGCUACAUGUGACUUCGUACUGACAGAAGUGCAGGCUCUGAGUGGUGCAGCCCUAUGUCCUUAUUGGGAUCUCACCCGCAGACCCGUACCCAGUGACGGAUGAACAAAUACACUCAAACACAGAAUACAGUGAAAGAGAGGGCUAGGGGUCCAUGGCCACAGAUACUGCAGAGAGAGUUAGCAGCUGGCACUCGGGGCAUUUAUUCAGUAUAGAUUUAAUAACAGAGACUCUGAGUCAACACACUUGUGGAUAAUGAUUAAAGAUCAGGUUCUGAGGCCUAAAGCAAACACCAUUUGUGAGUAAUAAACCCAGUCGCCCUUCUGCUGAGAGAGCCAUCUGGUCUGCAAAUGAUUAAAGGUUAGUUUUAGAACCAUGUGAGUAAACAACUUAUUUAGAUAAACUCUACUCUAUGUUAUUUUCGCAAGGAAAGGGGAUUAGGCUGCCUUCAACCAUAACCUCCUUCCCAAGGCUUUUGCAAAAACCUUCUGGCCUUCCAAGAAGGUUUGUGACUAUUAUAAUUAUGCAAUCUCUCCCACCAUCCUGACUGAACCCCCACAUGUCAUGAAUGUAGGUUGGCCAUUCUAUUUGGAAACAGGAGGCCAGGGUGGCUUUGUGUCUGGCAUUCUUUCUCUGUUGUCUUUAUAAAUACACCCAAAAAGAUUUGGUAACUUGACAGGUGCCAAGAAUAAGAAAUCUCCUGACCGAAAACUUAGUUGACAGCCAUUGUCAGUGUAAGAAAUACUCCUGUCCUUCCAGGAAAAGGUGUGCACCAACAUUCUAACUCCAAACUUGUCCAAAAUAUUUGCUUCUGGUUUCUGAAACUUUUUGGAUUGUAGAACCUUUUGAGUAUUAAUUAGGCAGAAGUUCUGGACCCUCAUUCCAGACAAAGAAGUUUUGUCUAUAAUUUCCCCUAAAAGCAAGGAGCUUUGGAGCUCACUUAUAACCUCCAGUUUAGCAUCCUGUGUUAGGUGAUGACAAAGAACUCCCUCCAAGGAGAAGAUUCUGCACUGUGAUGUGCAAAUUAUUAUUGUUAUCCCCAAAUACCUUGUAAAUGAUCAGUUUUAACCAAAAUUCAAGUUAUUUACAACAACUUACCAGGAACAUCUCUGCCGAUAAAGCAAGAUAUGCCUGUGGUAUGAAGGAGCAAGAUGGUCUCUGAGGGGGAAGGCUGGAAGAAACUGAACAAUGUGUGUCAAUUGCAAUCUGGACUGCUUCAAGAGAUUGUCUGAGUUGGAGUACAUCACUGAUACUUUCUUGAGUGUCUUGUCUGCUUCUGAUCAUUUGUCUGAGCAGCAUUUGUCCAAGGUGUGUUUAGUGACAAUGUUAGUAAUGAGUUUUGCGUAUGUUCUCUCAGCUGGUGUGAUUUAUUUCUGACUAGGUGGGCUAUAAUUUUGUGCUGCUGAAACAUAUGUUACCUUGCAGUUGAAAUAAGACUCCAGGAGUCAGGCUCAUUUUCCAUCUAUUUGGUUGCCACCUUUUCCUCCCCAGUACCCCAAAUGCACUGUCAGGAGUGGUCACUAGACCUAGAUGUUUUAGCAAUCACUGCCCAAUCCAGAUUUUCAGCUGGGAUCAUGUAAGCACUGAGUUUUGGGGGAACAUUUCUCUAAGGGCAGAGCAAGCUGCUUGGCAGGGUACUGGUUCUCUACAGGAAGAGCUGAAAGGCACGACCAGGCACACCCCAGUAAUGUGCAGUUUGUGCCCCACUGAGAAUGGAGGAGUGGGUGAGAGCCAGCUCACUCUUGGCUUAGCAAGCUCUGCAAUCUUGGUGUUGCGUCUGCCUAGAGAAGGUGGUUUUUACUAAUGCUCACAAAGACACUAUAUGGGUUAGCAAGGCCCUAAGAACACCACAGGUGUAAUGAUGGGCAGGUCAGGGGUGUAAGAGAAGGGUCCCAGGAGUGAGUCCCUGUCUGAUAUCUAUCCAGCCCUGAGGCUUUAUGGUAAAAACAGACAGGACAGGACCCACGAUAUGUUUAGCGUUGGUAUUUGGGAUAAGGCAUUGGCUUAGCAUGAGAAGCACUCAGGCCUCUCAGUGGACAAAACACUAGAGCUGGUGGCAGACAAGAAUCAACAUUUUUUCUGCUUACAAGUUGCUGCAAAUCGUUCAUCAGGGUUUUCAUACUGGGCCUCUCAUCUUCUCAACCUUGCAGUAAGUUCUAGAAGGACUGGGCCUUCUAUUUGUGUAAGGCCUGCUGAGUGCCACACCUGGCCCUGGACUUGUAGAAUUCAGUGUCUCUGGGCCC